AUAGGUGCUACAGUUACUGCCUUUUGCUGAUGACUACACAUCCAAUUAAGAGCCAUCCAUGUGGAACGCCACCACAUUCAAGAGGCCUGUCUUGGGGAAAAUAGAACAAUGAAGGAGAUUGUCAAGGUAGAGGACAUUCAUCCAGAGGGACAUGAUGAAAGAAGAGCAACUGUUGCCUAUAAACUUGAAGCCUAUUAGACUCUGCCUUGGAAAUAGAAGCUAAAAGAAUAUGAUUUAGCAGUUAACUCUAAAAGAAGCUGGGUAACAAUGUGGAUAACAUGUGCUGUC
rnacentral:lncRNA from 1 species